GAUCAACCCGAUAUUGAAUUUUUUUAAUCUGAAAUAGACUCAUCAUGAGGGCAAGAGGGCAGUUACCCUCCCAAAGAUAAGUAGCAGGUUUAUCUGAGCAAAAUCUGAGGGAGUAGGGAGAUCUUUCCAGGCCCUUCUCCAUUUGAGAUCAUAACUUAACUCCAUCUCUUGGCAAGAUGUAUAGCAAAAGCUAAGACAGGUGCAUCGAUUUGUAGUAACUGGUCGUCGUAUCUAGGUUGAUCAAAGGAUUCUGACCAUUGCUGAAACGUACGGGUAAAAUAAUUGGUUUGAAUUGAAGUAACAUAAAGCAAAAUCUGAGGGAGUAGGGAGAUAUUUCCUGGCCCUUCUCCAUUUGAGAUCAUAACUUAACUCCAUCUCUUGGCAAGAUUUAUAGCAAAAGCUAAGACAGGUGCAUCGAUUUGUAGUAACUGGUCAUCAUAUCUAGGUUGAUCAAAGGAUUCUGACCAUUGCUGAAACGUAUGAGUAAAAUAAUUGGUUUGAAUUGAAGUAACAUAAAAAAUGAAGUAAAGAAGUAUAGUAAUUAUCAGUUCUACUGGUUCCUGCAAGUUUUAUUUAUAAUUGUCCUGAGAUAUGCAUCAAAUUAGAUGAAGAUGGCACUUUGAUUAUAUUUAAGUGAUUUUGCUCAAGGAUGGAGCAGUUCUCUUAGCGAUGAUGCUUUAACCAUUUACUUAAAUCCUUUAAAUAAGAGUUGCAGAAGACGAUUAUUCAUAUGCUGGUAGAAUCAUACAUGCUGUCCAACUCUUUUUGAAUUGAAAUUUCCCAAUUUUGAUCUCCUUUUUGGUUUAAACUACCUAGGUAUUUGCUUCCAUCUAUAAAUACCAAAAUGAAGGAAUGGAGACCAACUUUGAACAUGGAUAGAGUUGCUGACAGAUGUUAUUUGAUAAAUUUGAGAGUGUUGACAUGAUUGAUCAUCGCGAUCAUAUCUUGGGAUGGAUGAAAGAGUUAUGGAACAAAUGGAGAGGACACUUGCAUGCAAAAUAUGUGAAGGAUAGGCCUAUCCAAAAGGCUCUUAGGAAUAUUCCAAAGGGAGUAGACAAGAAAGAAUGGGAGUGGUUAGUAAAGGAACAUUUUUCUUCAAAAAGUUUUCAGACAUGAAGUAAUAGGAAUGCAGCAAACCGAGCUAAGUUGAAGAUACUUCAGCAUAUUGGUAGUAAGCCUAUUCGAGAGAUAAUUUAUCAAAAGGGCGGGAAAGAUGGCAAUCCACCAGAUUUGGCAACAAUUUUCUUUGAGACUCGUUUGAAAAAUAACAAGUUGUUUGAACCUGAAGCAAUUGAAAAACAUGCUCAGAUUGAAGAAAUAGUUCAAUCGAAUCCAGCUCUACCUAGCAUAGAGAUAGUAGAAAAAUGUUGUGGACCUCAAACUCUAGCCACGUAUUUCGCUUUAGGGGUGGAGUAAAGGCGAAAUACUUGAAAGGUGGCACUUCUUCAAAGGCUGAAUUACUGUCCGCGAUACGUUCAACUAGAGAGAAAAAUAAAUCUUUGAAUGAGGAAAACAAAUCCUUACAGGAUCGCUUGUCUACCUUAGAAGAUGAGAUGAAAGAAAUGAGGAAAAUAAAGGAAUAUUUCGUACGCAACAAUCACAUGUCUCUCCUUCUACAUCAUUCGUUUCAAAUGAAUGACCACUAUUUUUUUCUACUGACCAACCUUGUUGAUAUUGCUGGAUAACACAUGAAUUUAGAUUGCUUUUGGGAUUUUGAAGAUUGAAGCUACAAGUCAAGAUUCAAGUUUGAAAGAUACACAAGCUCGUUAUUAUUUUGCUAGGAAUGUUAUGUAAAACUUGAUAUUAUAGACUAGCUCAGGAUGUUAGCUAAGUUUUUUUGUUAAGAUGUUGAGCAAAUAUUGAAACUAAUAUC